rnacentral:rRNA from 1 species
AUUGCANCGCUGCGGGCAUNCUUUANACAUGCAAGUCGAACGCNAAAGGGGGGCAANCCCCNAGUAGAGUGGCGANCGGGGUGAGUAAUACAUCGNAACAUAUCCUGUAGCGGGGGAUAACCUCGANAAAUCGAGGCUAAUACCGCAUACGUCCUACGGNAGAAAGCGGGGGAUCGCAAGACCUCGCACUAUAGGAGUGGCCGAUGUCGGAUUAGCUAGUUGGCGGGGUAAGAGCCCACCAAGGCUACGAUCCGUAGCUGGUCUGAGAGGAUGAUCAGCCACACUGGGACUGAGACACGGCCCAGACUCCUACGGGAGGCAGCAGUGGGGAAUUUUGGACAAUGGGCGCAAGCCUGAUCCAGCCAUGCCGCGUGAGUGAAGAAGGCCUUCGGGUUGUAAAGCUCUUUCGGCCGGGACGAAAUCGCCU